rnacentral:rRNA from 1 species
GCAAGUCGAGGGGUAACAGAGAGUGCUUGCACUUUGCUGACGACCGGCGCACGGGUGCGUAACGCGUAUACAAUCUACCUUAUACUGGGGGAUAGCCUUUAGAAAUGAAGAUUAAUACCCCAUGGUCUAUAGAUAUGGCAUCAUAUUUAUAGUAAAGGUUACGGUAUAAGAUGAGUAUGCGUCCUAUUAGUUAGUUGGUGUGGUAACGGCACACCAAGACUACGAUAGGUAGGGGCCCUGAGAGGGGGAUC